AUUGAACGCUGGCGGCAGGCCUAACACAUGCAAGUCGAGCGGAGCGGCGCACGGGUGAGUACCGCGUGAGUAACUGCCCCCCUCUCUGGGAUAACAGGUGGAAACGGCUGCUAAUACCGGAUAGUGGGGGAUGACUCGCGUCCUAUCAGCGUGUUGGUGGGGUAGUGGCCUACCAAGGCGACGACGGGUAGCCGGCCUGAGGGGGCGCCCGGCCACAUUGGGCUGAGAUACGGCCCAAACUCCUACGGGCGGCAGCAGGGGGGAAUAUUGCACAAUGGGGGAAACCCUGAUGCAGUAACGCCGCGUGCGGGAUGACGGCCUUCGGGUUGUAAACCGCUUUCAGCCAUGACGCGGUAGUGGCAGAAGAAGCACCGGCUAACUACGUGCCAGCAGCCGCGGUAAUUC
rnacentral:rRNA from 1 species